rnacentral:rRNA from 1 species
GUAGGGGGCGAGCGUUGUCCGGAAUUAUUGGGCGUAAAGGGUUCGCAGGCGGCCUUUUAAGUCAGAUGUGAAAGCCCACGGCUUAACCGUGGUAAGCAUUUGAAACUGGAAGGCUUGAGUUAAGGAGAGGAAAGUGGAAUUCCUAGUGUAGCGGUGAAAUGCGUAGAUAUUAGGAGGAAUACCAGUGGCGAAGGCGACUUUCUGGACUUAUACUGACGCUGAGGAACGAAAGCGUGGGGAGCAAACAGGAUUAGAUACCCUGGUAGUCCACGCCCUAAACGAUGAUUACUCGACAUUUGCGAUAUACAGUAAGUGUCUGAGCGAAAGCAUUAAGUAAUCCACCUGGGAAGUACGACCGCAAGGUUG